AGCUACUUCAAGAGAUAAAUUAAAAAGCGUGUGGCGCAUAUAACAACUUCACUUGAGUUAGUGAUUUGUCAAAAGUACAUAUGGUGAGAAGUAAUAUGUUUGAAAUGAUCUAAUAGUUUCGAUAAAUUGCUGGCCACGAACCUAGAAGAAUUUUAUCGAUCUGUAAUUUGCCAGUGGUACAUAAUUAAGCAAAGACGACCAGUGCCGGAUUAAGCCAGCGCGGGGCCUGAAGCAAAUUCUAUCAAGGGGCCCUUAGACUGUUUUAGGUUAGCAAAUUUAUAAAUAAUGCUGUUGAUAUCGACUUCUCGGAGUAAAUCAUGUUCAAUAUUCAUUAAAGUGAGGCGAUUAAGACGUUGUUGGCUCAAUUCAUUUUUAACACGUUUUAAUGUUGAGAAAGAUCGUUCACCACUGCAGUUGGUGAUCAUGAGAGACAAAUAAAUGCGCAAAGCAAUUUCAACGUUCGAGCCUCAUGAUUCCUGCUGUCAAUAAUACUAGCCACAUCAGAAUUGAGCAUUGCAGCGAACUGCACUAAUUCGUCGCCCAGACUGUCCUCCAAAUCAUCUACGUAAGCAGUUGCUAUGGUUGCAGAUUUUUUCAAAAUUUCUUCUGGUGGAAGACAUAAUAAUUUCUUAUUUUAACUUAAAAAUAUCUUACCUUAUGCACAGUUAUUAUCGUUGAAUACUUUUCUCUUCUUGACUACGUAAGAACACUGUUCUAUUUAGUAUAUUUUAAGAGAUAACUGAAUACUUAAAAAAUCGGUUGCACCGCUAUAUUAUGUAAGAAAACAAUACUCAACACAAUUACGAAACCACUUUUUUCAAGAAUGGUUCAUAUCGAAAGUGCCAUUAUUAUCACCCAAACGUAAAUAUCGAUCAUUCCUUAUAGAUUGGUAGUCAAUAUAACCCUUUUCAAAUCGGUCGGGUUAUUAUCACUAGCACGGAGAAAAUAUUAGGGAAUUCCCCGUUUUGUUUAGCAGCAUUGCCAACUUGCGUGUAGUGCGGUGCGAAACAUGAUUUUUGGUAUGACCAGCAGAUAGA